UACGAGGGGGGCAAGCGUUGUUCGGAAUUACUGGGCGUAAAGGGCUCGUAGGCGGCCAACUAAGUCGGAUGUGAAAUCCCCAGGCUCAACUUGGGAACUGCAUCCGAUACUGGAUGGCUUGAAUUCGGGAGAGGGAUGCAGAAUUCCAGGUGUAGCGGUGAAAUGCGUAGAUAUCUGGAGGAAUACCGGUGGCGAAGGCGGCAUCCUGGACCGACAUUGACGCUGAGGAGCGAAAGCUAGGGGAGCAAACGGG
rnacentral:rRNA from 1 species